ensembl:lncRNA
GCCGGCCGGGCGCAGCUGCGCCUCGUCGGGAGCCGCGGGCGGGGCCCGCCCCAAAGCCUCUUAAGCUCCUCCGGAGGCUGCCGGGAGCCACGGGGGAGUUUCUGCGGUUCUGUAUGGGAGACGGAGUGAGUUCUGUUUCUUUGUCGGGCCCUGGUGCUGCUGAGGCUGAGAAGCGGCUGCUGUGAGCCCUUUUGCGGCUGAGCGAGGGCUGUAGCAGAGCCUCUCAUCGGCCCGAAGCAGUGAGCUCGUGGAAGCGGGGAGUGUUUGAGAGUCGCUCGGUAAGAUCUCCCCUGCUGGGGCUCCUGUAGGGUUGCUGCCCGACUGCCUCCGUGUCUUUGGGAUCGGCACGGCGCCGCCGCUGGGGGCUCCCGCGUGGCUUUUUAGUAGGACCGGCACGGGGCCUCCGCCCGAGACCGAGCACGAUCCCGGGGUGGCCUCGGCCACUGCGGAGUGUUUUGCGGGUGCUCUCACCCAUCCCGUUUCCAGCGGUGGGAGCGAGCAGGUUGGGACCGUGGUUUUAUUUUUUUUUUUCCCCGCCUCUUCCUUCCCGUGUAACUGCAGGAGCACGAUUUAGGUUCCCACCGUGGAGACCUGGCAGGGCAGCUCGCACGACUGAAGUGCUGUCGUGGAUGGCUCUGUUCCUUUUAGGAAAGGCAGACCGGCCAGGCGGUGGAGUCUCUUUUCGAGGGAGAGAACGGGAACGUAUCGAGCUCCACCUAGGGAUGACUGAAGAACCAGCGGAGCGUUUGUGCGUGAGGCUGAAGAGGCAGCUGGAAAUGGUGCCCACAGCUGUGAGGCCAGUUCUCAUGGUAGGCUCCAGGAGUUUCCUGCAAUGUGUCAAAGGUAAGAUCUUCUGACACAGGUGACGAAGGAGGCAUUGAGGAGAGGGGCUGCUGGAGCUCCCUAUUGCAGAAGAGCCAUCUGGGGACAGGAAGGCCAGGGGCAGCCUGGAGCGUGCCAGUCGUGAGACCGCAGCGUUUGGGAUCUUGUGUGGAAGCUGCAAAGCAAUGAGUAGGAUUGUAACACUGGACUUGGAGGGAGCCAGGUUUGUCCUCUUGAAGGGCCUACUUGGAGGUAACCCUUGCUCAAGCAUAGGAAGGGGUCCUGUGAAUGCUGGAGCAUUACUUCGUCCAUGCUGAGGUGCGCUGCGUCCCAAGGAGGAAGGAAGUGCGCAGGAAUGGUGGGGGACCUGCAGGGCUGACUGAGGAACUUGAAGGGGAGAAGGAAGAGAGAGGCUGAGGAAGGCCAAGUCCCUCUGAGUAUCAGCUUUGGGAGGGAGGUCAAGGCUAAUGGAAGUUUGUCAACAGGAGAGACUGGAGAAAUUGCAGGCCUGUGCUUCACAAGGCAAGGGCCUGAGUAAUGGAGGAUGGAGGACAUGCUGGAUGCCUGUUUUGGUUUCAGUGGUUUCUGCUGGGAGUGCUCCUGGGGUCCUGGAGGAGAGAGUCUCAGAGGAAGGCUGCCUUCCCCUCAGUUGCAGAGGAGCUGGUCAAAAGUGGUUCAGGCAGAAAGGAGGCCAGCAAAUGCCUGAGCUGUAGAGGGCUAUGCCUGUGCCCGCUGAGAGCUGGCAGCGGUGACCGGCAAAUGGCGCUCUCUGUCACUUUUCCCUGCUGUUUCCUGUGGGGAAAGGUACCUGAAGACUGGAGGAUGGCGGAUGCCACCGCAGCCUUCAGAAAGGGUGUGGAGGAUGGCGUGUGCAACUUGGAGGUAGGUUGGCCUCACCUCUGUUCCUGGGGAGGUGACGUAACAGCUUGUUGCAGGUGUCAUUGCCAUGUGACCGGAAGAGAAGGAAUUUGCAAGGAGCAGUCCAGGUGGAUGGACAGAGGGGAAGUCAUGCCGGACCAAAAGGGCGAGGGCUGCAGUGGAGAGCUUUGCCGAGAGGAUUGGCUGGAGCAGGUGUGUGGUUUCCCCAGCAGUGGGAUGAAGGAGGUGAGAGAGGGGGACCCCCAGGCGCGCCCCCUUGGAGGUGGUUUGUGGAGGUCUCUGUGCAGGUUCAGGCCGGAGGCAGGAUCCUGGUGGUGUGAGCUGUAUGUUGUUACCUGUGAGGUGGGUGGCGCCCUAGGGCCGGAGGCAGUGGCUGUGUGGGUGACGCUGUGCUUUUUUUACAGGGUGGAAGGUGCGUGGCAGGCCCUGUCCCGGAGGAGUGGAGUUGAUGGAGUGUGGCCCUUUGAUGCUGGAGUGAGGGGUCCUGGUGGGGCUGAAGUCCUGCGUGGAAGAGGGAGAUCCCAGGCGCUGCGAUGCGGAGGAGGAGCGGAGCCAGCGGUGGCUCCUGUGUGGUGAUGGCUGCUUAGUGGUGGUGUUCCUGGUCCUGGGCUGAAAGGAGGAGGAGGAGAAAGCUUUUAGUGUGUUACUUCAAAGCUCAGGCUUGGAUGACCUUGCUGAGGCUGAACAAGAGUACAAAACCUGUGAGUUAAAUGGGUGGAACAAAACUACAGCUGCUGCACCUUACCGGGCCGAGAGUCGUGACCUGAUCUUCCAUCUUUUACACAAAACGAGUCAGAUCUUCAGCUUGCUGCCACGAGUAACUCACACAUUCUCCAAUUCCUCGUAUGGAAAGAAGGCUUUCUUCUAAGGGAUUAUUCCAAUGCGUAAAAUCGGUGAAUUCACCUGUACAGUAAUGAAAUACUUUCAAUAAUUUCAUGCAAAACUUUCUUUAAGCAGUGCCUUGGGCCAAUCUUUCCAUGUGAGAGCUGCAUGAGUAAAAGUUCUCCUUUCGGUCCAUUUCUGACUUAUUUUUUAUAAUUUAGUUUAAAAGUUCAAGUCAUCCAACCAAAGCUGUGACAACAGGAAUAACAGGCUCGUGGUAUAACAGCAGUAGGAUUUAGGCACCUGUGGAGGGAGAAACACUGAAGAUUUCACCGUGGGUUCAGGGUGGGCCAAACAUUAAAAUCCCUUUCUUGGUUUAAGAUCAGAAUGCACCUUUGUGGGAUUCAUUUCUUCCUUACAUCUCAGUAACCAAGUAUGCAUUGAGUGACCUACACCUUUAAGGGGGAAAAUGGUCUCAGUCAAGCGCUGGAUGAAUAUAAAUAGUAAUAAUAAAAGCCUAUCAGUAAGGAAAAGCUGAGCAUUCUUUUUGAAUGAAAACAUAAUAAUUAAUAAUAAUCAUAAUCAUAAUCUGUGGCACAGGACCCAAAGAGACCUUUUCCUCACAGUUUCACACAGCAGUUCUCUCAUCAGCUCUGAAACCAUCUACCUCUGCAACUCAGAAAGCUUUCUUUUUUUCUUUUCCUGAAAGUUCAAGGAUACGUUAUCCAUUUUCUGGGCAAGUUUAGAACUUUGGGUCUCACUUCUGCAUACACGGAAUCUUCUCUAAAGUCAGUAAGACAGAACAAAACCCGAGACCCUCUUUGGACUGCAAAUCCAGAAGCAUUCGACCCUGCGGUUCUGCCAAGCAGUGUGAAACACCGUAUUUGUAUCCGCCUCACGGAGCUCCCGCCCGAGUUUUUUCUCCGCGCUGAGCAUCAGUCUGCAGUCCUCGGUAAUUCCGGUAGAGGGCAAUACAAUAAAGCCAUUCAUAGAGGGCUCUCCGAGGCAGCUGCCGUAACUGGCUCCCACGGAACGCCUCAGGCUUUCUUCUUGUUCUGGAUUGGUGUGCUAAUGCCAAAUAUUUACAAUUGAAUCUUUUUUUGAUCCCGGGAACGCUCAUACUGCUUAUUUCUUCUUUGACAGCACAAACGCACGGGCGCGUUCUCAGUGCCUGAAAACAUCUCUAUGCAAAAAUCAAGAUAUAACUCUCUUUGCUACCACUUUUUUUUUUUGUCUCAUCCUCAGCCAUCCGUUUGAAUGUAAACGUUACAGUAUACCUCACAUCCGUAAGGAGUCUUUACAUUCAGGUGUAGUUUUAAAAAGUCUCAUAGGAACCUCUUGCAGUCGAUUAAUGGGCACAUCGGAAGCAAAUCAACUGGAAGUACGGGAUGAGUGUUAUUUAAUUCUCCCUAGGGCUUUGCUAUUCACACACUCCUCUGUGCAGGUAGAUAUUCACGUGCGUAUGAAAGGAAAACUCACCUUCAAGGCGUAACAAAGGGAAACCCACACUGGGAUCAUUCGUAGGAAAGCAUCAUUUCACAGUACAUAGGUUUAUGGAUUGUGAGAGAUAGUGAUGCAUUUGUAAGGAUGAUCCCUACGAUAAGGUUCUGUGGUUUUAUUUUCUCAAGUCUAGACGCAUUUAGUCAAUAAUGAUUUCUUCAAAAGAUAGCCACAUCUCCAAGACAAGAACAGAACGGCCACGUGGCAGAUUUCACACAACCUCACAACAGUACCAUGAACUAUACGGGAGUUUCAUAAUUCAUGAAGGAACAAUAUUCCCUCCCGGGCACUAAAACUAGUCCAGAUAACACCAAGAACAGCUGAAAAGCCGGACAGUGUGAUUUCCCCUCUCCUCAAGUAUAGAGAGACACAAGUAUGAAACAGCUGGAAAACAUAUUCAAAGGAUGACAGGCACCACGUCACAGCAGAAGUGCCAGGUAAGCUCAGCGCAAAACAGUCCCUUUACUUCUUUCAUUCUUUCUUUCAUUUGUAACCAGAUUCAUGAGUGGAUGGAAAUGCUUGACAAAGUGAUAAUGAAUCUCUCUGAACGUUUACAUGGUUCCCAUCAGUGCAAAGACUCACCCA